ensembl:lncRNA
CAAGGGAGACGAUAAACUGGAGGGAAAUAAAAUGGUUACACGUUGAGACGGUGAUGGGACAAAGGGGAAUGGUUUUCAUAGAAACAUAGAAUCGCUAAGGUUGGAAAAGACCCACAGGAUCACCCAUCCAACCAUUUGCCCAUCACCAAUGGUUCCCGCUAAACCAUGUCCCUCAACACAGCAUCCAAACGCUCUUUGAACACCACCAGGCUCGGUGACUCCACCACCUCUCUGGGCAGCCCAUUGCAGUGCC